UGAAACCAACAGUUGUGCUGUGGAUUCUGGUUAGGACUACAUCACACUCUGAAUAACAGCUCUUCUGGGGUUUAUCAAACUGUAAAAGAUGGUUAAGGUAUUUUUCAAGGGCAUUGGAUAUGCUGAGAGGUACCUUGAAGAGAUCAAGACCGAACUCCAAAGACGACUUUGUGUGACCCAAGUUGGAAAUGAACGAGAAUGUGAUGUCAUCUUGGUCCUCUGUCCAAUCGUCUCUCGAGCUGGAACCGAUGUUGAGGCUGCACUGAGUGCGAUUCCAAGCUCAAAGCCUACACUUCUUAUGGUGUUUCAUCACACAUUCGACCCGGACGAGAUAAUACCCAACACCCAGAAGUAUGUCGGAGGGAGAGGAAUGACGGUAGACCUGCUUUUCAAUGAAGAAGGAGGACUACUUUCUUGCAGAAGAAAUGAGAACUCUAAGAGAAUGGCUGCAGAUUUUCUCAGCCAAUAUGAAACACAAAGCCCUAGACGCAGUGAUAUCUAUUCAAAUGCCAAGCUUCUGUUCAUUUUAUUGGUCAUUUUAAUCAUGUUUUGGCUUUGGCAUUCUCAGGAAGAUCAGGAAGAUCAAGAUCAAAUGAUGUCAAAUGAUACACUACAGUCGAAAUAUGAGCAUAACUGAAAUCUGAUUCAAAUCGUCUUCGGUCUGAAAUGCCAGAAGUGGGUUUUUUUAAGUCAUAUAUUGGCAACACCAACAUGUUUUAUUUGAAAACAUAAAAAAGGUGAAGAGCAAUCAGCAGUAUGACUUUCAAGUGUCAUUUGAUUUAAGAGUAAAUUGUAGUUUAUAAGUUGUAAUUACUCAACCUCCUUGCAUCCUGAAACUGCAUAACACCUCUAACCUUUUAGCCAUUUUACUUAGUUAUUUAUUAAGUUAUAAGCUAGGCUACUGCUGGGAAAGGUGGAAAAUCAUGUGAACAGGCCAUAAUAAAAUUGAAAGUGUUCAAUCAA